GGAAAAGAGCUCUUCAAGUCAACAUACAGAUUUCACACAUAAAAUCUCAACUCUUCUUUUUUUCUGAGACUGAUCAGACUCUGGAUAAAGCAACUGAGUUAUUCUGUCACAGUUAGCUGUGUGUUCUUCCACUGAAUGAAUGACCAUGAAGAUCCUGUGCUAUGUAUUGAAAUGAAGUGACCUGAUACUUCCAAGAUUGCUUUGAUAUUUCAGCACAAUGAGCUCUUGUCUGCCCUACUAGUCAACUCUGCCUUUGUACUGAAGAAGAAACCAUAGAGGAAACAUAAAAUUUAAUGGACCAUAGUCUGUUGCCCAUGUCCUCACGCAUCAUAGAAGAAGCACCACAAAUGUCAAU